UACGUAGGGAGCAAGCGUUGUCCGGAAUCAUUGGGCGUAAAGCGCGCGUAGGCGGCCUCGUAAGUCCGUUGUGAAAGUCAAAGGCUCAACCUUUGAAAGCCGAUGGAUACUGUGAGGCUAGAGUCCGGAAGAGGCGAGUGGAAUUCCUGGUGUAGCGGUGGAAUGCGCAGAUAUCAGGAGGAACACCAAUAGCGAAGGCAGCUCGCUGGGACGGUACUGACGCUGAGGAGCGAAAGCGUGGGGAGCGAACAGG
rnacentral:rRNA from 1 species